rnacentral:rRNA from 1 species
AAUUGCCAAAGGUCGAGCGGUAGAGAGGUGCUUGCACCUCUUGAGAGCGGCGGACGGGUGAGUAAUACCUAGGAAUCUGCCUGGUAGUGGGGGAUAACGUUCGGAAACGGACGCUAAUACCGCAUACGUCCUACGGGAGAAAGCAGGGGACCUUCGGGCCUUGCGCUAUCAGAUGAGCCUAGGUCGGAUUAGCUAGUUGGUGAGGUAAUGGCUCACCAAGGCUACGAUCCGUAACUGGUCUGAGAGGAUGAUCAGUCACACUGGAACUGAGACACGGUCCAGACUCCUACGGGAGGCAGCAGUGGGGAAUAUUGGACAAUGGGCGAAAGCCUGAUCCAGCCAUGCCGCGUGUGUGAAGAAGGUCUUCGGAUUGUAAAGCACUUUAAGUUGGGAGGAAGGGCAUUAACCUAAUACGUUAGUGUUUUGACGUUACCGACAGAAUAAGCACCGGCUAACUCUGUGCCAGCAGCCGCGGUAAUACAGAGGGUGCAAGCGUUAAUCGGAAUUACUGGGCGUAAAGCGCGCGUAGGUGGUUUGUUAAGUUGAAUGUGAAAUCCCCGGGCUCAACCUGGGAACUGCAUCCAAAACUGGCAAGCUAGAGUAUGGUAGAGGGUGGUGGAAUUUCCUGUGUAGCGGUGAAAUGCGUAGAUAUAGGAAGGAACACCAGUGGCGAAGGCGACCACCUGGACUGAUACUGACACUGAGGUGCGAAAGCGUGGGGAGCAAACAGGAUUAGAUACCCUGGUAGUCCACGCCGUAAACGAUGUCAACUAACCGUUGGGAGUCUUGAACUCUUAGUGGCGCAGCUAACGCAUUAAGUUGACCGCCUGGGGAGUACGGCCGCAAGGUUAAAACUCAAAUGAAUUGACUGGGUCCCGCACAGGAUAGUAUGG